rnacentral:misc_RNA from 1 species
AGGUGAACCUGCGGAGGGAUCAUUACCGAGUUAUACAACUCAUCAACCCUGUGAACAUACCUAAAACGUUGCUUCGGCGGGAACAGACGGCCCCGUAACACGGGCCGCCCCCGCCAGAGGACCCCCUAACUCUGUUUCUAUUAUGUUUCUUCUGAGUAAAACAAGCAAAUAAAUUAAAACUUUCAACAACGGAUCUCUUGGCUCUGGCAUCGAUGAAGAACGCAGCGAAAUGCGAUAAGUAAUGUGAAUUGCAGAAUUCAGUGAAUCAUCGAAUCUUUGAACGCACAUUGCGCCCGCCAGUAUUCUGGCGGGCAUGCCUGUUCGAGCGUCAUUACAACCCUCAGGCCCCCGGGCCUGGCGUUGGGGAUCGGCGAGGCGCCCCCUGCGGGCACACGCCGUCCCCCAAAUACAGUGGCGGUCCCGCCGCAGCUUCCAUUGCGUAGUAGCUAACACCUCGCAACUGGAGAGCGGCGCGGCCACGCCGUAAAACCCCCAACUUCUGAAUGUUGACCUCGAAUCAGGUAGGAAUACCCGCUGAACUUAAGCAUAUCAAUAA